AUGAAUUCCAAUAUUCAACCUGGCUUUGGUGACCUUUUGGACAUGUGCUGGAAGGUUGUCACUGCCUAUCAACCACCAGUCUCUGUCUUUGGCGAAGGUGUCUUUUGUUAAGCAAGAGCCCUUUUUGCAAUUGACUUUGACUUUUUUUGAGAUUGGCAGGUUCGCUUGUGGUUUUUGGGCUUGGUUUGGCCAGCCUGGCAACUUGCAACCUCUAAUUCUCGUCAUUGUGGGCAACACAAAUUUGAAAUUAAAAUA
rnacentral:misc_RNA from 1 species